CGGCAAACCAGAUCAAUUUCCUGGUGAUCUUUACUCCAGCAUUCUGAUCGUUAUUAAUUGCUACAUAUUACCGUUUUUUUUUUAAAUCAAUGUUUGUUUACAUUAUCAACAAAUGUGAGUAACAAUCUAGGUCGAGUUGUCGAUCGUAGUGUAUAGUUUGUUCCAAACCAUUGUUGGUUUCUGGUACAGGUUGGCAGUUGUUUAUCAACAAUAAAGUUGUUGCAACUAAAACACAUGCUAUCUU
rnacentral:lncRNA from 1 species